rnacentral:tRNA from 1 species
UCCCAGGUGGCUCAGAGGGUAAAGCAUCUGCCUGCAAUGCAGGAGACCUGGGUUCGAUCCCUAGGUUGGGAA